rnacentral:rRNA from 1 species
UGCUAGUAGGCGACGAGUGGCGGACGGGUGAGUAACGCGUAGGAAUCUACCUAGUAGUGGGGGAUAGCCAAGGGAAACUUUGGGUAAUACCGCAUACGAUCUAAGGAUGAAAGGGGGCCUCUCUUUGAAGCUCUCGCUAUCAGAUGAGCCUGCGUAAGAUUAGCUUGUUGGUGGGGUAAUGGCUCACCAAGGCGACGAUCUUUAACUGGUCUGAGAGGAUGAUCAGUCACACUGGAACUGAGACACGGUCCAGACUCCUACGGGAGGCAGCAGUCGGGAAUAUUGGACAAUGGGGGAAACCCUGAUCCAGCCAUGCCGCGUGUGUGAAGAAGGCUCUAGGGUUGUAAAGCACUUUUAGUAGGGAGGAAGGCUCGAUGGUUAAUACCCAUCGGGAUUGACGUUACCUACAGAAAAAGCACCGGCUAAUUUCGUGCCAGCAGCCGCGGUAAUACGAAAGGUGCAAGCGUUAAUCGGAAUUACUGGGCGUAAAGCGCGCGUAGGCGGCUUAGUAAGUUAGAUGUGAAAGCCCCGGGCUCAACCUGGGAACUGCAUCUAAAACUGCUAGGCUAGAGUAUGGUAGAGGAUGGCGGAAUUUCCUGUGUAGCGGUGAAAUGCGUAGAUAUAGGAAGGAACAUCAGUGGCGAAGGCGGCCAUCUGGACCAAUACUGACGCUGAGGUGCGAAAGCGUGGGGAGCAAACA